rnacentral:rRNA from 1 species
CGCGUAGGCGGUUUCUUAAGUGAGAUGUGCAAUCCCCGAGCUUAACUUGGGAACUGCAUCUCAGACUGGGAGGCUAGAGUGCUGGAGAGGGUGGUAGAAUUCCACGUGUAGCGGUGAAAUGCGUAGAGAUGUGGAGGAAUACCAGUGGCGAAGGCGGCCACCUGGACAGUAACUGACGCUGAGGCGCGAAAGUGUGGGUAGCAAACAGGAUUAGAUACCCUGGUAGUCCACGCUGUAAACGAUGAACACUUGGUGUGGUGGGAGUUGACCCCUGCCGUGCCGUAGCUAACGCGAUAAGUGUUCCGCCUGGGGAGUACGGUCGCAAGGCUGAA